rnacentral:snRNA from 1 species
AUACUUACCUGGACGGGGUCAAUGAGUGAUCAAUAAGACUCAUGGCCUAGGUAGAUGGCUUUCAUUGCACUAGGAAGGUGUAUCUGCCUAAGGUCUCCUCAAGUGGGAGAGCCUACGUCAUAAUUUAUGGUAGUAGGGGCCUGCGUUCGCGCGGCCCCUGU